AGCCUGAACGCUGGCGGCGUGGCUAAGACAUGCAAGUCGCACGGAGGUAGCAAUACCUUAGUGGCGAACGGGUGAGUAAUGUAUCGCUAACGUACCCUUAAGUCCGGGAUAGCCAGGGGAAACUCUGGGUAAUACCGGGUGACAUUCUCCUCUCGCAUGGGAGGAGACUCAAAGGAGCAAUCCGCUGAAGGAGCGGGGCGAGUAUACGGUAUCAAGCUAGUUGGUGAGGUAACGGCUCACCAAGGCGACGACGCGUAGCCGGACUGAGAGGUCGGUCGGCCACAUUGGGACUGAGACACUGCCCAGACUCCUACGGGGGGCUGCAGUAACGAAUCUUCCGCAAUGCACGCAAGUGUGACGGAGCGACGCCGCGUGUGGGACGAAGUCCUUCGGGAUGUAAACCACUGUCAGGGGUUACCAAGUUCUGAGGAGCCCCAGAGGAAGGCACGGCUAACUCUGUGCCAGCAGCCGC
rnacentral:rRNA from 1 species